UGGGGGAAUAUUGCACAAUGGAGGAAACUCUGAUGCAGCAACGCCGCGUGAACGAUGAAGGCUCUUGGGUCGUAAAGUUCUGUUCUGAGGGAAGAAGAAAGUGACGGUACCUCAGGAGAAAGCCCCGGCUAACUACGUGCCAGCAGCCGCGGUAAUACGUAGGGGCGAGCGUUGUCCGGAAUUACUGGGCGUAAAGAGUACGUAGGCGGUCAUGCAAGCGCAUGGUGAAAGGCAUAGGCUCAACCAAUGUCAGCCAUGCGAACUGCAUAACUUGAGUGCGGGAGAGGAAAGCGGAAUUCCUGGUGUAGCGGUGAAAUGCGUAGAUAUCAGGGAGAAC
rnacentral:rRNA from 1 species